AUGUCAAGGCUAGGGUAUUUUCUAAGCAAAUUUUUGAACAUCUCUCAUGCCUCAGGAUAGCUCUCGAAAUCUUUCUACUUGAAAAUGUAGAUUUCAUUCCUGAUUU
rnacentral:snoRNA from 1 species